AUUGAACGCUAGCGGGAUGCCUUACACAUGCAAGUCGAACGGAGUGGCGAACGGGGGAGUAAUGUAUCGGAACGUGCACAGGAGCGGGGGAUAACUACGCGAAAGCGUAGCUAAUACCGCAUACUAUUGGAGCGGCCGAUGUCGGUUUAGCUAGUUGGAGGGGUAAGGGCUCACCAAGGCGACGAUCCGUAGCUGGUUUGGGAGGACGACCAGCCACACUGGGACUGAGACACGGCCCGGAGUCCUACGGGAGGCAGCAGUGGGGAAUUUUGGACAAUGGGGGAAACCCUGAUCCAGCCAUCCCGCGUGUGCGAUGAAGGCCUUCGGGUUGUAAAGCACUUUUGGCAGGAAAGCGGUACCUGCAGAAUAAGCACCGGCGAACUACGUGCCAGCAGCCGCGGUAAUUC
rnacentral:rRNA from 1 species